UUUUUUGGUGUGGGCCUUCUAAAGGUUAAGGACCUAUCUGGGGUCAGGAUAGCAUUUUAGGUACUGAUUUUAUUCUCUUGCCCUAAGUACUGACCUCUGCUUCUAGAAUGUUGUAGAAGUAACAAACACAUUGUCGUUAUUUGUUUGUUUAUGUUGUAGAAGCAGACCGAAGUGUUAGAAAGAAACUACUCUGCAGCUGACAGCACUAAAAGAAGUGAUUUCAUCCUCAGCUAAUUCACAGCAUGUACAUUUGUAUAAGCAAGAAUUCCUAGACAUUACAUUUGUCUGCGAGAUGGAGUACUCAGACAUCUCUGGUCUGGCAGGACAUAGAAAACUUGUUUUCCAGGAAUGGAACAUCUCCACAGCCACUCCUCCAAUCGCAGUAGCACACAGCAGGCUGCAGCCAGAUGAUAGAUCCUGAGAUAAAGAAUAGAACAAGAGGGUGUCUCUGCAUCUCCUCAUACACUGAAGACUUUG
ensembl:lncRNA